rnacentral:misc_RNA from 1 species
CCUUUGCAAGUUUACUCCUGAUUCGAGUUGCAAAAACUGAAAUUAAAAGAAAGAUGAAUGAGGGGAAAUGGGUUUCAAACAGCACAAGUGCACAUUGAUGGAUAGUCUUCUCGAGGCAUGUAUUUUUGUGUUUGUGUUGUAUAUCAUUAGAAAACUUACGUGAAUAGGAAAAAUGCAUGGAUGGAGAUGUGUUGUAGUGAUUAUGAACCUUAUUCCUUGCUCAUUUCUUUGUACACUUACAGGAGAUAAUUUAUUAAAGAUUCUUAACAUCUUUCUUUCAUAUCUAGAAUUUUAAAGCUUCGGGUAUUAUAGUGCCCUCAUUUGUAUUCUUAGUUGUGUUAUGUUCGCGCUCAAGUGGUUUUUAUCCUAUCCUUGUUCUAAAUUUGAAGGGCUUCAAAGCCAUUACAUCUGUAGUACUCUUUAAGUCAGUCCUGUCCCAGUUUAAUUGUGAUUA